rnacentral:ribozyme from 14 species
UUUUUUUUUGUUUUUUUUUUGGUUUUUUUCAGUCAAAUAGACUGAGACUGUAUCACAACAAGAAAAGAUUGUAGU